rnacentral:lncRNA from 1 species
AGUUACUGGAAGAUGAAUUCCAUUCAAAAUAGAAAACCCUUUAAAUCGUCUUUGUUUUUCGUCCUCUAAUACUUUUUUGAUAUCCGUCAAAUCAUUUUAAAAAUUACAAUACAGUGUUCCCUCCAUUUUUCAUGAUAUCCGUGUGGUCAUAGGCUGUUUCGUACAUCAGAUAUAUCACCAGGUGUAACCGAAUAUUGCUAGUUGUAUAGCUGUUGUCACAGAAGCUGUAUGGUUCGUUUGGCAAAAUUUGCAUGUUAACUUACUUCGCACUUCUUUGAUA